UACGUAGGGUGCGAGCGUUGUCCGGAAUUAUUGGGCGUAAAGAGCUUGUAGGCGGUUUGUCGCGUCUGCUGUGAAAUCUCAAGGCUCAACCUUGAGCUUGCAGUGGGUACGGGCAGACUAGAGUGUGGUAGGGGAGACUGGAAUUCCUGGUGUAGCGGUGAAAUGCGCAGAUAUCAGGAGGAACACCGGUGGCGAAGGCGGAUCUCUGGGCCAUUACUGACGCUGAGGAGCGAAAGCGUGGGGAGCGAACAGG
rnacentral:rRNA from 1 species